rnacentral:rRNA from 1 species
UACGUAGGGUGCAAGCGUUGUCCGGAAUUAUUGGGCGUAAAGAGCUCGUAGGCGGUCUGUCGCGUCGGCUGUGAAAACUCGGGGCUCAACCCCCGAGCCUGCAGUCGAUACGGGCAGACUAGAGUGCUGUAGGGGAGACUGGAAUUCCUGGUGUAGCGGUGAAAUGCGCAGAUAUCAGGAGGAACACCGGUGGCGAAGGCGGGUCUCUGGGCCGAUACUGACGCUGAGGAGCGAAAGCGUGGGGAGCAAACAGG